GUCCACGCCGUAAACGAUGUCUACUAGCCGUUGGAGAUCUAGAAUCUUUAGUGGCGAAGCUAACGCGAUAAGUAGACCGCCUGGGGAGUACGGCCGCAAGGUUAAAACUCAAAUGAAUUGACGGGGGCCCCGCACAAGCGGUGGAGCAUGUGGUUUAAUUCGACGCAACGCGAAGAACCUUACCUGGUCUUGACAUCCUGCGAACUUUCUAGAGAUAGAUUGGUGCCUUCGGGAGCGCAGAGACAGGUGCUGCAUGGCUGUCGU
rnacentral:rRNA from 1 species